rnacentral:tRNA from 1 species
AGCDAGUUGGUAGAGCACUCGACUGUUAAUCGAGUUGUCACAGGUUCGAGUCCUGU